AAACAUGUCUGUCCUUCGCAAUGUUUUUGCCGUCAGUUGGGAAAAAAAUCUGGAUAACAACAUGAUUGGCUUCACCACAUCUUCCGGCAGUAAGUGUCGAAUACCCACAGGAAGUAGGCAUUGCAUGAACACAUGGCAGUCAUGGCUCUUAAGUCCAGUAAAUUUACCCCCAUCGACAUUCACGCAACGUGCGAUACUAGAAGCAUAC
rnacentral:lncRNA from 1 species